rnacentral:misc_RNA from 1 species
GAUGAAGAACGUAGCGAAAUGCGAUACGUAAUGUGAAUUGCAAAUUCAGUGAAUCAUCGAGUCUUUGAACGCACAUUGCGCCCCCUGGUAUUCCGGGGGGCAUGCCUGUCCGAGCGUCAUUGCUGCCCUCAAGCACGGCUUGUGUGUUGGGCCCCGUCCUCCGAUUCCGGGGGACGGGCCCGAAAGGCAGCGGCGGCACCGCGUCCGGUCCUUGAGCGUAUGGGGCUUUGUCACCCGCUCUGUAGGCCCGGCCGGCGCUUGCCGAUCAACCCAAAUUUUUAUCCAGGUUGACCUCGGAUCAGGUAGGGAUACCCGCUGAACUUAAGCAUAUCAAUAAGCGGAGGA